AUGUUUGUAUUUGUGAUGAUGUGUAGAGCUACAAUAUCGUUAUAUGUUUGUAUUUGUGAUGAUGUGUAGAGCUACAAUAUCGUUAUAUGUUUGUAUUUGUGAUGAUGUGUAGAGCUACAAUAUCGUUAUAGGUUUGUAUGAGAAUCAAGACUACUUUUUAUCAUACAGAUCAAAAGAAUGCGAUCUAUUGUAUCCUUUGCCAUUGCUUUUCUUAGCUAUUCUAUACUUUGUUUGCAAAGUGUUCAAACUUCCAAUCAAAAACAGCGUUCUAACUUAUGUAAUAAUUCCUUGGUUUUUACAAAACCGUCUAAUUGUAAUUGCAGCAAUGUUUCUAGGUCUUCUCUGAUCACUUUAGAUCUUAAGACGAAACGUGUCAAUAUCAUUUCGUCAUGUUACCAUAGCCGUACAAUUGAUUCGUUAAAGUUGCCUAAUCUUCGACAUAAACUGACUGACGAUAUUCGUAUGAAAGGUCCUAACCGUGAUAUUUCUAUAUAUACAACGAAUGAUACCUUUUCUUCCAAUCAAAACGACUCACGUGAAAAUAAAAUAGUGGGAAACGAAAGUAGUCUACAAUCUGAAUUUUUUUCAAAUACGUCUCAAAAA